CUCUGCCCGACAGUCUGUCUGUCAGCGUCAGGGACACAAGGACUCCUUCCCUUUCCAGCCUGGAAAGCCCCCUGCAAGGCAGCAAGGAGGAAGGGUGUGACCUGCAGCUCUUGCAGCCCACCCGGGACCCUGGGCCCAGCCCACAGCCUCUAGGUUCUAGGGGCACAUGUCACUGGGCAGCCCCCAGUCCCUCGGGGGAAAAUGCAGGCUGAGGUCUGCCCUCAGGAGCACGUGCUGGGGUCUCCUACCACCCCAGGAUGGAUCCCUCUCUGGGGAUCUGGAUUCUGGGGACAAGGCAGUUCCUAGAGGUAGCAGGGACGAGAUGGGGUGGGGUGGCCCCAUAGAAACCUCAGCCUUGGGGAAAGAGCUGAGCGCAGCACAUCUGUGACACCAGAGGGUCUGGGAGACCACGGCCAGCUGCAUAGGGGAAGUGGGUGAUGCCACAGGGAGGGGCCACAGACUGGGGCAGUGCACUUGCUCUAUGAGGGUGCCCUGGGUCUGUACGGUGGGUGGCAUAGGGGGUGCCCAUCUGGGUAGGGGCUCAGGGUGCUCACGCGGGCAGCCUUCCCUUCCCUGGACCAAGCAGGCCUCCUCCUCCUCUUCUGGUGCCCAGCUGGUCAGGUCUGGGCCUCUCCAGAGACCAUCAGGGGCAGCUGGGGCCCUGGCUUCCUGUAGCUAACCCCACUCCCAGCAGAGGAGCAGAGAGGGAGGUGCGGGUGGGGACAGUGGUUGAUGCCAAAGGCCACGGGGGCAGGGGCGGGGCAGGAGUGGGAAGGCCCCAACUGCCCUCACCUUGGGCAGAUGAAAGCACAGUGCUUCCAGGCAGGGGCUGAGCAAGGGGCACAGCUGUGAUUUCAGGGUGCCUCUGUCAGAGUGGCUGCUGUGAUUUGAGAACCUCGGGUUUCUCCAGUGACUGAUUCUGGGAGGUUGUGAAUGAGUAAUGCCAGGCGUGGCACCACCUGGAGACUAUGGGCCUGGGGGGGCCUUGCUGGGGGGGCCCUGCUCUCAGUCCUCUGGCUCCUGUGGCUGCUGGGGUCAGCCCCAGGUGGUGUGCCAGAGCCCCAGCCCAUGGUCACCAUCCUCAUCUGGCAUUGGCCCUUCACCGACCAGCCCCCAGAGUUGCUGGGUGACACCUGCACCCGCUAUGGCAUGUCCCGCUGCCGCCUGAGCACUGACCGAAGUCUGCUGGCCAGUGCUGAUGCCGUGGUCUUCCACCACCGGGAGCUGGAGACCAGGAGGGCCCGCCUACCCCUGGCACAGAGGCCACGUGGGCAGCCCUGGAUCUGGGCCUCCAUGGAGUCACCCAGCAACACCCACGGCCUCGCCCGCCUGCGUGGCAUCUUCAACUGGGUGCUGAGCUACCGGCGUGACUCGGACAUUUUUGUGCCCUAUGGGCGCCUGGAGCCCCGCUCUGGGCCUGCGCCCCCAGUGCCAGUCAAGAGCAGGAUGGCCGUCUGGGUGGUUAGCAACUUCCAGAGGCGGCAACAGCGUGCGAGGGUGUACCGCCAGCUGGCACCUCACCUUCAGGUGGAUGUGUUUGGCCGUGCCAGUGGGCGUCCACUGUGUGCUGACUGUUUGCUGCCCACCGUGGCUCCCUACCGCUUUUACCUGUCCUUGGAGAACUCACAGCACCGGGACUACAUCACUGAGAAGUUCUGGCGCAAUGCGCUGGCAGCUGGGGCCGUGCCUGUCGUGCUGGGACCCCCGAGGGCGACCUAUGAAGCCUUCGUGCCUCCUCAUGCCUUUGUGCACGUGGACGACUUCGGGUCUGCCCAGGAGCUGGCCGCUUUCCUCAAUGGCAUGAACGAGAGCCGCUAUCGUGGCUUCUUUGCCUGGCGUGACAGUCUGCGCGUGCGGCUGCUGGAGGACUGGCAGGAGCGCUUCUGUGCCAUCUGUGCCCGCUACCCCUACCUGCCACGUGGCCAGGUCUAUGAGGACCUGGAAGGCUGGUUCCAGGCCUGAGCUCCCACAGGUGACAAGAGGUUUGUGGGCAGAAGGCUGAUGUUGAAACCAAACCAUGGGCAUCCGGUCCCCAGGCUGGUAAGAAACCAUCAAAGCAUCCGGUAAGACGGCCCUCAGCUCCCUGGGUCCAGCUUUCCCUCUUCUGCCCUCUGCUGGCCAUGUGGAGAAAUGAACCCUGCAACCCGCUUAGGGCUGGGAAGGUUCAGUCCUGUUCUGUCCUGGUUGUGGCCUGUCUUCAGCAAGUGAUGGGUCACCUUUGUGGAAGUUGGAGUUGGACACCUAUGACCCUCAGACCUGGUGAUACAAGCCAGCAUAGGAAGGCAGACUGUUUUCCAAGCACCACGCCUGUCCCCACCAGCAAAGAGCUGUUUCUGGGGCCAGGGUCCCUCGAGUCUUCUCACUGCUCAGAGGACUGCAGCUGAGCAGAGCACCCAGGUGUCCUGCCAGCCCCAUGGCUGUCUGUAGUGGGCUACAGCUCUAUACUGCUAUUGAUCGGCACUAUAGUUUGAAUAUUAGUUUAACUUUUUCAUACAGAGCAGAACUGUCACCCCAACAGUUUCUCUGCCUGGUGUUCACAUCCCUACAGAAUGGCUGGAUGCAGCCUGCUUGACUCACCCCACCAAACUCACACAUGCAGAUGUGCCACAGCUUCUACUAUUGGUCACAGUGUGACCCCAUGGAGCUCCUGCUGGGCAGCUGGGCACCGACUGUGGUACAUGCCUGCAGUCCAGCUACUUGGAGUGUUGAGGCAGGAGGAUCACUUAAAUCCAGGAGUUAGAGACUAACUGGGCAGUGUAUCAAGACCCCCAACUCAAAAUAAGAAAAAAAAAAUCUUGUGGGAAACUCGUUUGUGGGACCCAACAAAGAAGAUGGACCAGGUCCUGCCCCACCUGCCCUCUCUGACCUGUGAGUAUCUGUAAGGGCAGUCUUCAUCUUUACCUCUUUCCUAAUCGGUGAAGGAAGGGUGCUUUCCAUCUUAAAAGCCUAAUCAAUA